GCGUGAGUGAUGAAGGCCUUCGGGUUGUAAAGCUCUUUUGGCGGGGACGAUGAUGACGGUACCCGCAGAAUAAGCCCCGGCAAACUUCGUGCCAGCAGCCGCGGUAAGACGAAGGGGGCAAGCGUUGUUCGGAAUUACUGGGCGUAAAGGGCGCGUAGGCGGUCCUUUUAGUCGGACGUGAAAGCCCUGGGCUCAACCUGGGAGGUGCGUUCGAUACUGGGGGACUUGAGAGUGGGAGAGGUUGGUGGAAUUCCCAGUGUAGAGGUGAAAUUCGU
rnacentral:rRNA from 1 species